UGAGCUCGCGUCGGAUUAGCUUGUUGGUGAGGUAAUGGCUCACCAAGGCGACGAUCCGUAGCUGGUCUUAGAGGAUGAUCAGCCACACCGGGACUGAGACACGGCCCGGACUCCUACGGGAGGCAGCAUUGGGNCANUCUUNAACAAUGNGGGCAACCCUGAUCCAUCCAUGCCGCGUGUGUGAAGAAGGCCUUCGGGUUGUAAAGCACUUUCAGUAGGGAGGAAGGCUUAUCCUUAAUACGGAUGAGUACUUGACGUUACCUACAGAAGAAGCACCGGCUAAUUUCGUGC
rnacentral:rRNA from 1 species